rnacentral:rRNA from 1 species
AAACCAGCACCUCAAGUGGUCAGGAUGAUUAUUGGGCCUAAAGCAUCCGUAGCCUGAUCUGUAAGUUUUCGGUUAAAUCUGUACGCUCAACGUACAGGCUGCCGGGAAUACUGCAGAUCUAGGGAGUGGGAGAGGUAGACGGUACUCGGGAGGAAGUGGUAAAAUGCUUUGAUCUCUCGAUGACCACCUGUGGCGAAGGCGGUCUACCAGAACACGUCCGACGGUGAGGGAUGAAAGCUGGGGGAGCAAACCGGAUUAGAAACCCGGGUAGUCC